AUGACCAGAAGUGUCCAAGACAAGCUUUCAUUUCUCUAUUCAGAAAACUUAAGCCAUCUUUAAGCAUGCUGCAAAAUGCCCCACUUUCCCCUCACAAGUAUUUUCAGGCUUUUACCAGCAUGGUGCAUAGUCACAUUUUUAAUUCUUCCCUUCAUGACAUGAGGGAGAGAGGCACGGAUUAAGUGUUCUAUUUGAAAACACUCUGACACAUUUUGUUGAAGCCAAGACAAUUCUGCUGAAGUAUUAUCAUGAUUUACUUGAGGUUAAAAGUCUGAUCAGAUGCCUGCUCUACGUGCAAAACCAUCAAGUGACUGCAGCAAACGCCUCUGGAACACAAAGCAGAAGCAGGCAGACAGCAGCUGAAUGGAGCCCCCGCUGCAAGGGGAAGCAGACAGUGGGGCUGGAGUUUCCCACCGAGUCCUCCAGCCCUUUGCUGCUGGGAGAAGGGUUAUUAAACCCUUCUGCUUUGCUCUGAAGUGCUACAAAUAGAAUGGUAAAUCUAAAUAAUGAGGUGCAUGCUGUUCCCUUCAGUAUGUGCUGCAGAUGACAAGCAGGAACCAAAAACCAAAAGGAAAAUAACAAGUAUAGCUGGAGGCUAUUGUGCCCACUAUGGAGCUGACUCUUGCAGUGUGUUCAGGUGUAUACCUUGUACUUGUGUUGUACAUCCUGCAGUGGUGACUGCCUUCUGCUGUAAGUGAGGCUAUUUAUUCAAGCCAGGAUCCUCUUUGCACCAGUCACCCUCUGUUACGUGGCUCAGCACCUACUCUGACAAGCUGCAGAAAAGGGAGCUUGUAUCCUGAGAUGGGAGCAGUUGUUCUUAAUCUCUCCCUUGAAUUUCCUGCUCUUCUGCCUUCUGCUCCCCUAAGGAAGGCGGCCAGGAUGACUGGACCAGGAACACUUUCCCCAUAAUGGUCUCUAUGGGUUAUCCCAGUCCACAAGGACCCCUUGCCACAAAGAGCCUGAUGGAAGGUCUUCUGAAGGGGACUACUUCUCAUGCCUGCCCCCAAAUAAAUCCUGCCUCUCUGUUCUGAGGUUCAAAAGCUCUAAGAUCUGCCAGGUAGAUAACAAAUCUGAGAGAUGCCAGUUGAAAGCUGACAGGAAAGGGAAGGUGGGCAGGGAUUACACCAAGGUUGAUAUUAUUUGUCAUGCAUUGGCUUACCCCGAGACAACUGUUGCUUUGCUAAUCUACUGCAGACACUUAAACCCUUGAUGUUGGGCUUCUGGAUAUAGACACCUCAGAAAGAGGGUGAGUGCCUACAGAAAGAGAUGGAAUCCAGCUGCCAUCUCCAACAUCAAUCAGUCAUGUACAAGGUCAGUGAUGCCUCAUCCAAAUUUCUGUCUAACAUGACAGGCUCAACUCCCCAGGUCUGAAAGUAGCACUUUUACAAGCAAGUGUGGCUGUCCAUAAGCAAUGAACAGGUCUGAGCCAUUUGCCGGCUUGGUUACCUCAGUGCAUUAGAAUUAAGGACAAGGGCCCUUUAUUUCCCCAGCUUAAGUAUUGAGCUAGAAAGUCAUGGCUGCUUUCAGAAGUGAUCCAAGUCCUUCGUAUUCCACAUAGGAACAGAUGGACAAAAGUGUUUUCAUCUGUGAGCAUUUAAAGGCUAAGAAGGGGUCUUCAGCAACACACAUUCACACUCUUCCUCUCUUGAUCAGGAUCCUCAGCUGAGAAUUCAAAGGCCACUUUUCAAGGCUUUCUUCUUGUGUGUGUGUGUGUGUGUGUCUAAAGCACCACUUUGUGAGGUUUGGGAGUGGAUUAAUCUCCCUCUAUUGAACCUGAUGAAACUUUUCUGAUAGAAAGCUGAUUUCAGAUUUAGACUCAGCUCCUGUCUGCAUUACCAAAACCAUUCCUGACCAUUCCUCCAUGCUCCUGAAGCCUUUCCGUGAGAUUUGGUGACUCAUCAGUUACUGCCAACUGGUGAUCCUGUUAUCAGCAGUUCCCAGAGCCCCAACCAAAGUCAAGGUGACGACAGGACAUGAUCUCAACGUGCUGAGCCAUUGCUGAAAGGGAGACCUGACACCCUUAAAAGAGGCUGUAGUGACUUGCCAUUUCUCUGGGGUAAUUCUAGCUAUGAGCUGCAUGCCUCGGUUGAGUACAUCUGCUCUGGGGAAUGCUUCCUAGAAUGCCAGAUUUCAGAAUUCACGUUAUAUACUUGGGUAACUGCUUCACAAGCUGCUUGUCUUUGAGAAAUGAUAAUGAAAGGCAGAUGAUUUAAAAAAGAGAAGAAAAAGCACAUCUCUAAGUGAAGACUUCAGUGUUUUGGGGCCCUGGUUUGGAAGUGGAGCUGAUUGCCAAAGCUCCUGGCUAACAUUAAUUCUCUUUCAAUUUCUUUGUCAUUUUGAAGCUAAUACAACUCUAGUGGAAGUUCCUAAUGUUAUUUUUCCUCUCUUAACCUAAUUAACAAACUGAAAAUUUAUGUAGUCCUAAAUGGAAUUACUUUCUCCUAAGCACUGCAGAGGGAGUUAUUUCUCAUGUCCCUAUUAAAGCAUGAAUAUCAGUGCUAAUGCUUCAUACCAGCUACCAUACCUGGAUUUUCUUCACAGGAACUGUACAUGGACAGUUCCCUGAAUGAGGCCAUGCGCCCUUAUGCCAGCUGCUGACAUUAACUUGGGACAGCAUCACACUGCCUUUUCUGUUGCUAUUUUCAAUGUUAAAUUGGAGCUGUUGGCAUAUUUACCUGCUGAAUAUUCAGAAAAGUCUGAGUAUGGCUCAAAAAACUUGCACUAUUAAAGAACUAAACCCAAACGCAACCCAAACCCUUGGUUUUCAUUUCAUAAAAGGCUUCAAGAAAUCUUUUGAUUAAAUUGUUAAAAACCAAAAUAAAUUGCUUAAAUUCUCAGAGAGGAAUCAUAUUUUUUUCCUGAAACAUGAUUUUUUAAUGAUGAAUAUUUCAACAGAGUUGUACUAAACCAGGAUUGCUCCUUUACAAAAACCUGCCAUCACUUUUAGUGAUGUUCUGUGGUAUUACCAACACUGUGCUAAUAGCUUCACAUGCAGUUAGUUUCUCAAAAACAGAUCUGACACAUUUCCAAAUACAGAAUAUGUGUAUUAUUUCGUGGCUUAAAUCUGUUUUAUCGUGAUACCACUUCCAGAAUACUGAAGGCAUAAAAUGGUUUAUGGUCCAAAAGAUAAACUAGCACAAGCCACUACACUGGAAAAUAGGGAAGGAUCUGAGAAAGUGCUAAAAGCAUUAUUAUAGCUACAGAAUGGACUCUUAAAUCUUUUAUGCAACUUGAUCAGUUCCCACUGGAACACACUGUAUUGUUUUCAUAAAUAAACACCCAAAGUUGCUGUGCACAGUG